rnacentral:rRNA from 1 species
UGCACAGACAACCAGGAUGUUGGCUUAGAAGCAGCCACUCAUUCAAAGAGUGCGUAAUAGCUCACUGGUCGGGUGAUCCUGCGCCGAAGAUUUCCGGGGCUAAAACUUACUACCGAAGCUACGGCAUCAGUAAUGAUGGGUAGGGGAGCUUCCCAUACAGGUUGAAGCAUGACCGUAAGGACAUGUGGACAGUAUGGGAGUGAGAAUGUUGGCAUGAGUAGCGAGAUGUGGGUGAGAAUCCCACAGGCCGUAAAC